rnacentral:rRNA from 1 species
ACAGCAGUAGCCGCGGGAAUACGGAGGAUCCGAGCGUUAUCCGGAAUUAUUGGGUUUAAAGGGUGCGUAGGCGGAUAGAUAAGUCAGUGGUGAAAGACGGUGGCUCAACCAUCGCAGUGCCGUUGAUACUGUUUAUCUUGAAUAUGGAUGAGGUAGGCGGAAUGUGGCAAGUAGCGGUGAAAUGCAUAGAUAUGCCACAGAACACCGAUUGCGAAGGCAGCUUACCAAGGCAAAAUUGACGCUGAGGCACGAAAGCGUGGGGAUCGAACAGGAUUAGAUACCCCGGUAGUCCCUGUCUCUUAUAC